GGCCGCGUGGCCUAAUGGAUAAGGUAUCUGACUUCGGAUCAGAAGAUUGCAGGUUUGAGUCCUGCCGUGGUCG